GCACCACAAGAACGCGUGGAGCAUGUGGCUUAAUUUGACUCAACGCGGGAAAUCUUACCGGGUCCGGACACACUGAGGAUUGACAGGCAAUAUCUCGGCUGUUUAAUAACCGUUUAUUAAUAAACGGUUUAUUAAACAGCUCGAGUGUUAAAUAUGCUAGUCCUUUCAUGAUUAUGUGAUAGGUGGUGCAUGGCCGUUCUUAGUUCGUGGAGUGAUCUGUCUGCUUAAUUGCGUUUCACUAAGGGCCCAUAAAUUCAAGGUAUGUUAGCAAUCGUCGCUCUAUGGACCCCUUAUUUCAGUUUAUUAAUAAACUGUUAUAAGCGCGCGUCUUGUUUAAAGAGUUUAAGACACUGCGCAUGCUGUUGGGCUCUGAAAGCAACGAACGUGACCGCAACGUCUUGUUGCCUUAAUCAAGUCGGCUGUUUAAUCUGUUUAAUUAAACAGAUAGCAGUCAUUAUGGCUUAUCCGAGGCUAUUUAAAACUAGACGAACCGCUGUUUCUUUUCUUAAACCAGAGGAAGGUUGCGGCAAUAACAGGUCUGUGAUG
rnacentral:rRNA from 1 species